ACGGCCAUAUCACGUUGAAAAACCGAUUCUAAUACGAUCACCGAAGUUAAGCAACACUGAGUCUGAUCAGUAACUAGAUGGGUGAGUGCUUGAGAAUAACAGAUGCUGUAAG